rnacentral:rRNA from 1 species
AGCGAAACGGGAAGAGCCCAAACCAACAAGCUUGCUUGUUGGGGUUGUAGGACACUCUAUACGGAGUUACAAAGGACGACAUUAGACGAAUCAUCUGGAAAGAUGAAUCAAAGAAGGUAAUAAUCCUGUAGUCGAAAAUGUUGUCUCUCUUGAGUGGAUCCUGAGUACGACGGAGCACGUGAAAUUCCGUCGGAAUCUGGGAGGACCAUCUCCUAAGGCUAAAUACUCUCUAGUGACCGAUAGUGAACCAGUACCGUGAGGGAAAGGUGAAAAGCACCCCGGAAGGGGAGUGAAAUAGAACCUGAAACCGUGUGCUUACAAGUAGUCAGAGCCCGUUAAUGGGUGAUGGCGUGCCUUUUGUAGAAUGAACCGGCGAGUUACGAUUUGAUGCAAGGUUAAGCAGUAAAUGUGGAGCCGUAGCGAAAGCGAGUCUGAAUAGGGCGUUUAGUAUUUGGUC